rfam:Clostridiaceae bacterium BRH_c20a BRHa_1000015, whole genome shotgun sequence.
AAGAGCCGGAUGCGUUAGUAGCGCAAGUCCGGUUCUGUGAGGGCUUGGGGCUGUGAAGCCCCGGCUACUCGAU